CGGAAUCAACCCCAAAGCAAGCCCAGGCCUCCGCCGCUAUCAGACCCGUCAUUAGGAAACAUCGAAAGCCUCAAAACGCCCGAGAACGGAGGCUGGCGGGUUCGGCGAGCCCUGUUGACUCAAGACAGUCUGCGACGGAAGACAAGCAGACCACGGGAAAAUGCGUUUGUGCAGACGGAGGGGAGAGCGACACAGCAACCCAGCGAGCGUCCUGUCCAAACAGCCUCUGGGGAAAGCCGGGAGGUCAUGCGCCCAAGGAAAAUCGUUUCUGUGCAGGUGGCAGACGUAGCCACACCUCCCAUCCCUGGGCCCUCAGCUCCUGAAACACCAGCCACUGGUGUCACAGCCAAGACACACCAUGGUGGUCAUUCCACAGACCCUCUGAGAGCCCCUCAUGCAUGGACCCCAUUCUCACAGGAAGGGUUCCCAUAAGGGCACUGCCGCUUCCUCCACACAAACCCUACGGAGGAGCCCUGGGUCUGUCCCUCCUGGCGUCAUAGGGAUGGUCAAGAGAUCCGGAGGAAGCGGACGACCUCACGUGGAAUGGGGAGACAGCCAGGGAGCUCUCUAGAUGAAGACAAAUGUGCCUUGCAAAUGGUCCCAGAAGACUCCAGAAGGAUCUUUUCUCCAAGAUGUAGAGAACCAGAGAAGGAAGCCCCGCGACACGUCUUCGCAGUCGUCCACCUACGGGAGAGUGUUGGCUUGCCGGUGAAAACCCUGGAGAAACGUGCUCCAAGCCUCCCCUGGGGUCCGUCGACUUGGCACAAUCACGGCGCUUGGAACGACAACUGAGGAUUCUUCACGGUACCCCAAACCGCAGUCCUGGGCUCACACUGGGGGCUCACACUGGGGUUUGGGCCCAUGGCUUCAUACAGUAGGAACGUCCUACCUUAGUGGGAGCCCAGGACAGGACCCCGAGAGGCAUCUUGCCUUUGUGCAUCUGGAGAACCUUUCUCAAAGUCUUGCUACAGGUAGGUUGACCAGAAAGCCUGUGAAACGGCAGGGAAGACCAUGUUUCUAAA